GCCCCUAAAAAAUCAAGACACAAUUGCAGUGUCCAGCCAACUUGAUUUUCAAGUUCUCGCCCUAAUUUACAUUUCGGCUGCAUUUCGGCGAUUUUAUUCAGUCCGAUUCGAAUUCGAGCAGUGAUAACAUCCAAAAUCAGGAAAUCGCAACAGGAAGCAAACCUUCGUCAUGAUGGGAAUCGGACUCACCCGUCGGAAGAAGAAAACAACACAAACAUCAUCGCAAUAAAAAAAUUACAAUACUUAUUUAUUCAUUAAAAAAAAACACAUUUCUUUCGGAUAUGGAGUUGGCGCUGAUGGGGUUGGCAUCAGUCGUCACCUGCUGAAAUUAGCAUUCGGGGGCGGGGGGUUUUAAGAAAUACAAAGAGCGGGAGGGAAGUGUUUGAAAAAGAGAGGGAUGCCGCCACAUCAGGGGAGGCCGGGGCUUUCCUUGGCCGGCGACGGAAGGGGGGCGUAAGGAGGGUGUGGCUUAAUGUAAGAAAUCAAUGAUUCAGCCGCCCCUGUAAGAAUAGUUGGCUUUCUAAUAACGGCAUCGCUCCUGGAUACGAAGGAGGAAAAGGAUUUUUCCCUCCCUCGGCGAUUUUUUUCCCCAAUGCUGGGGCUGGAACGGCCCCUGGAAGCAUAAUUCAUAACUUAAAUUACUAAAAUACCCCAUUAAUUUCUGCACUGAUUUCUAACACGAACAUUAAGAAUAUAUACUUGCUACCUUUGCAAUUUAUGGCUCGCAAGACUUAGAAAUUGCGCUAUACGGUUACGUGAAAUUUAAUUAUGACGAGGGGCGGAUUCACAAAAACACACAUUUUUUACAACAAAUUCCAAAUGAACGAAAGAGGUGAGAAAAAAUUAGCAAAAUUGUAAAAUAUCACAAAAAUGGGACUGAAACCUGUCAAAAACUUACAACAACAAAAAAAUAAAAAAAUAACUCGUAGACUCGUAGUUUUGAACAAAAUUCGAACGAUUCUUUCAAUUAAUAAGCCGCUGAGUGGAUGUUUUGCGAAAAAUGCCCCACCCUGUAUACGCUAUGCAAUUUUCUGUUCUGACUUUACUUUUUACUCCGGUGAACUUAUCCACAUUUUUAACUUUAUUUAUACCAAUUAUCAGAAUUUUUAGGUUUGUUAUGUCCAAAUUUAAAAUAUAAUUUAUUUUUCUUUUAUGAGAAACACCAAAAAUAACAUUAAACUAAACAAGAAAUACCCACAUUUUCUUCGUUUUUGUUGUUCAAUUUUUCAAGCAUUUGACGAAAAUUUAAAAAUUUAAAAAUUUAAUUAAAUGACACAAAAUGGGACUGAAACCUGUAACAAAAAUAGUUAAAAAAUAAUACAAAACUUUUAGACAAAGGGUGUGCAGUUUUGAACAAUAUUUUAACGAAUUUUUAAUUUACUAAUCAGCCCAGUUGUUGUUUUGUAAACAAUGCCUCACCCUGUAUAUGCUUACGCAAUUUUUUAUACUCCAAUUAUCAAUUUUUUUUUAUGUUUUGUUCUUUUUCUAUUAAUUCGAUUAAUUUAUCUUUUAUUAGCAGUUAUCCUUGUCAUAGCUAAUAAUAUCUUUACAAUAAAACAACAUCAAACAAUACAAGAAAUGGCCAAACUUUCUUCGUUUUUGUUAUUUUAAUUUUUCAAGCAUUUUAACAAAAAAAAUUAUAUUUUUCUUUUUCGAUUAAAGAAAUUUUUCUUCAUCAACAGUUAUUUUUGUAAUAAGUAUCUACAAUAUUUUUACUUUCAUAAUAAACGCCAAAAAUAACAUUUAACAAUAAAAAAAAUGUCCACAUUUUUUUUCGUUUUUGAAAUUAUGUUCAAAUUAUUUUACCAAAAAUUUACACUAAAUUAAGUCUUAAAUUUGACAAAAAUAGUUUCUUUGAUUAAUAUUGAUUAAUGUAUUACUUAUCAAAAAAUGUACAGGGUGAUUCAAAAAUGAUAGACUAGCCACCAAAACUAUAUUAAUCAAAUUUAAAAUAAAAAUUGCUUAAAAAAUCCAGCACUUACUCAAAGUCUGUCUAUAAAACAUAAAACAGUUAGUACGUUAUUUUUGAAUAAGCCUGUAUUUAUUUUCAGUAUUCUUAAAUUAAUGAUUAGUUUACAAAGUGUUUCAAAAAUGGCAAACUGUUUUUUAUUCUAUUUAUCAUGCAAUUUUCGAACCAAAAAACACAAACUUCACCUUGUAUUUCCUCAUUAUUUUACAUAUAAUAACACAAACAAUUGACAAUUUCUUGUUUAAGGUGUGUGAAAAAUGUACAGGGUUAUUCAAAAAUGACAUACUCACCAAAAUCUCAAACUUUACUUUAUGAACUAAUCGGAAAACGCAUUUAAUAUAUUCUUUUGCACAUUAAGAUUAUUCGAUUUUAAAAGUGAUACUUUCUACUGAGGGAUAAAAACAGUACAAAAUUCUGAAAAAAAAACACAUAUAAUAUCUACUAUUUUUCAUGCUUCUACAAAACACUUUUUAUAAAACACACAGUAUGUCAUUUUUGAAUAACCCUGUCCAUUUAUUUAAAAAAGUAUUUAACUUUUUAAUCAAAUUCAAAAAUAUCCAACCUACAAAAUUUUUAAAAAUAUUAAAAAAAAAUAAAUAAAAAUUGUGUUAAAUUUUUUACUACAUUACUACAUUAGAUUUGUAGGUAUGUCAUUUUUGAAUCACCUUGUAUUUUUUUAUUUGGACUUAAAAUAAUUCUUAUAAUUGCUGUUUAUUCAAAGUGUUUCUUUCAGGCAGUGAGAAAAAUGUAACUCUAUUAUUUUAACAAAAAUUUUUAAAUAUUACUUUAAAAACGAAUAUACGAAUAAUAUGUACAGGGUUAUUCAAAAAUGAUAUAUUAUUUGUUCAUUUGUCAAAUUUUUACACGGUCUACGAAACGUCAGUGUAUCAUUUUUGAAUCACUCUGUAUACAUCACCUGGCAUUUGAACUACAAGAAAGCCGAAAAUUAUUACAUUUCAUGAAUUACAUAACCUUAUUCUGUCAAUUAUAACCAAAUAUAAUAUUUUUUGAAUGAAUGAAUUCGCUGAUGCAAAUACCAAAGAAAUAGUGUUUAAGUAAAAGUGUUAUAACACUGAUAACAAAAUAAGUUUCAGUCCCAUAACCCUUGUAAAAAUUGAGUUCGUUUUUUGUGAAAAAUGAUUGUUUGAUGGUAAAAUAGCGUUUAAUUCUCGAUUCCUCUCCGCUCGAGAGAAAUAUGCAUGAAAUGAUAAUCGCGAAAAGUCAUUAUUAAAAUAUUCGCAGCAUGUCUCUACAUAGCACGAGCCUUUGCAUGCACCUCUUUUGUUUACACACUGUACGUUCAUUUAUCUUAGCUUUUCCAAGGCACACGAGAUGAAUAAUAAAUUUUCUCAUCUUUAAUUCUAUGAAUCUUAAAUUCGCUCCGUUCCUCGUUCGUCGUUCGUUAUAUUGAAGCGCUUUUCUGUGUGAAAAAUCGGGUACGGAUUUUUACACGCAACACGCAACAAGUUGUUCCGUUCUGGGACAAGUGAUUUUUAAAAAAAUGACCACGAAAUGUUCUCCUCAACAAUAUUGAAGACUCCCGAAGUUUUCCGACGCUUUUUUAGCAUAGGUUUAAGUUAGUGUAGCUUUAAUCAUUUGUAAUACACAUGCAACUGCUUUAAGUUAAGUUUUUUGUCUUUUUUCUAAUGUUAUGUAUUGUGUUUGUCUUUUGUGAAAUAAAGGUUUUGGUAAAAA